rnacentral:rRNA from 1 species
GAUGAACGCUGGCGGCGUGCCUAAUACAUGCAAGUCGAGCGAACAGACGAGGAGCUUGCUCCUCUGACGUUAGCGGCGGACGGGUGAGUAACACGUGGAUAACCUACCUAUAAGACUGGGAUAACUUCGGGAAACCGGAGCUAAUACCGGAUAACAUGUUGAACCGCAUGGUUCAACAGUGAAAGACGGUCUUGCUGUCACUUAUAGAUGGAUCCGCGCCGCAUUAGCUAGUUGGUAAGGUAACGGCUUACCAAGGCAACGAUGCGUAGCCGACCUGAGAGGGUGAUCGGCCACACUGGAACUGAGACACGGUCCAGACUCCUACGGGAGUCAGCAGUAGGGAAUCUUCCGCAAUGGGCGAAAGCCUGACGGAGCAACGCCGCGUGAGUAAAGAAGGUCUUCGGAUCGUAAAACUCUGUUAUUAGGGAAGAACAAAUGUGUAAGUAACUAUGCACGUCUUGACGGUACCUAAUCAGAAAGCCACGGCUAACUACGUG